CAGUCGCCGCGGGAAUACGUAGGUGGCAAGCGUUGUCCGGAAUUAUUGGGCGUAAAGGGCUCGCAGGCGGUUUCCUAAGUCUGAUGUGAAAGCCCCCGGCUCAACCGGGGAGGGUCAUUGGAAACUGGGAAACCUGAGUGCAGAAGAGGAGAGUGGAAUUCCACGUGUAGCGGCGAAAUGCGUAGAGAUGUGGAGGAACACCAGUGGCGAAGGCGACUCUCUGGUCUGUAACUGACGCUGAGGAGCGAAAGCGUGGGGAGCGAACAGGAUUAGAUACCCGAGUAGUCCCUGUCUCUUAUCA
rnacentral:rRNA from 1 species